UGGGGAAUAUUGGACAAUGGGGGCAACCCUGAUCCAGCCAUGCCGCGUGUGUGAAGAAGGCCUUUUGGUUGUAAAGCACUUUAGGCAGUGAAGAAGACUCCAUGGUUAAUACCCAUGGACGAUGACAUCAGCUGCAGAAUAAGCACCGGCUAACUCUGUGCCAGCAGCUGCGGUAAUACAGAGGGUGCAAGCGUUAAUCGGAAUUACUGGGCGUAAAGCGAGCGUAGGUGGCUUGAUAAGUCAGAUGUGAAAGCCCCGGGCUUAACCUGGGAACGGCAUCUGAUACUGUUAGGCUAGAGUAGGUGAGAGGAAGGUAGAAUUCCAGGUGUAGCGGUGAAAUGCGUAGAGAUCUGGAGGAAUACCGAUGGCGAAGGCAGCCUUCUGGCAUCAUACUGACACUGAGGUUCGAAAGCGUGGGUAGCAAACAG
rnacentral:rRNA from 1 species